GGAGGCAUGGCGGAAUCGGUAUACGCUACGGACUUAAAAUCCGUUGGUCAUUGACCUUGAGGGUUCAAGUCCCUCUGCCUCCA
rnacentral:tRNA from 1 species